UACGUAGGGCGCAAGCGUUGUCCGGAAUUAUUGGGCGUAAAGAGCUCGUAGGCGGCUUAGCAAGUCGGGUGUGAAAACUCCAGGCUCAACCUGGAGACGCCACUCGAGACUGCUAUGGCUAGAGUCCGGUAGGGGACCACGGAAUUCCUGGUGUAGCGGUGAAAUGCGCAGAUAUCAGGAGGAACACCGGUGGCGAAGGCGGUGGUCUGGGCCGGCACUGACGCUGGAGGAGCGAAAGCGUGGGGAGCAAACAGG
rnacentral:rRNA from 1 species